CCUACGGGAGGCAGCAGUGAGGAAUAUUGGACAAUGGUCGAAAGACUGAUCCAGCCAUGCCGCGUGCAGGAAGACGGCCCUAUGGGUUGUAAACUGCUUUUGUUUGGGAAGAAACCUUUCUACGUGUAGAAAGCUGACGGUACCAUACGAAUAAGCACCGGCUAACUCCGUGCCAGCAGCCGCGGUAAUACGGAGGGUGCAAGCGUUAUCCGGAUUUAUUGGGUUUAAAGGGUCCGUAGGCGGACUUAUAAGUCAGUGGUGAAAUCCUGCAGCUCAACUGUAGAACUGCCAUUGAUACUGUAAGUCUUGAAUUCGGUUGAAGUGGGCGGAAUAUGGCAUGUAGCGGUGAAAUGCUUAGAUAUGCCAUAGAACACCGAUUGCGUAGGCAGCUCACUAAGCCUGGAUUGACGCUGAGGGACGAAAGCGUGGGUAGCGAACAGGAUUAGAUACCCUGGUAGUCCACGCCGUAAACGAUGAUUACUCGACAUUAGCGAUACACGGUUAGUGUCAUAGACGAAGACGAUAAGUAAGUACCGACCGUCGGGUAAGGUACGUUCGUUCGAAGAAGUUAGUUAACGUACGAAGUUAGAGUUAGUUACGGCGUUGAGACGAGCGACGGACGACGACGAGGGAGGAGG
rnacentral:rRNA from 1 species